AUAAAUAUGAGAAGCUAAGCUCAGAUUUGGCUGAUAUGAAAGAGUUAUUUGGAGGGUUUAUGGAUGAAAGAAGUUUAAAUGAUAGGAUGUCUAAAGCACCCGCCGAGGAAGUUGAAGAUGUUGCAUCUGUUGACUGAUAUCACUGGACAAAAUCUAAACAUCAUGUGGCUCAAGAGAUUUUGGAGAAUUCAUGGUUAAAGAUCAAGAGGGUUGAAGAUGAGGAUACAUGAAGUUUUUUUUACUGUGUAAUUAACUCAAAAAAUAUUUUGUUAUGAAAGUACACAAAUAGUGUAAAACUCUUACAUUUUGCAAGUACUCAAAAUACAUUACACUUUAAUUCAUAACAUGUCAAUAAAGUUCAAUGA